AGGUUCAUUAACAAAAGCUUUAUGCCUCACUUUAAUUUAGAGUAACACUUUUGUCUUCAGUGCAGAUAUUACAAACCAAAGACAGUGUGAUUCGAGUCACACAAACUAAUGCACUCCAGUGUGAAAUGUCUUUACAGUAUUGCUAUAUUUAUUUCGCCUUUAUAUUUUCUGAAACUCUUCUCCACAAAUCGAUCCGGUGCUCAGAGGGGCUCCUUGUUAUGUCCAUUCUCUCUUUCGCUGCUCUGUGCACCGAUGAAACACAUGUUGGCAGCCCUCUGCUUGCUUCUCAUAGGAUAGCCUGUCGUCCGGAGUGCCUUAAAUGAUUUUCCAUCUUUCUUUCCAUCUAUUUGGUCAUAUUACACCAUUUUGAACGUCCCAUUUAACCAUUACCGAUACCAAAUUCUCAACCAUUGAAAAAACACAAACAAAAGAGAAAGAAACUAAUUACAGUUAUUUGUGACUGAGAUGCCAUUAGUCUCUGUUGAACAGUUGGGGAUGUAGCAGCAUCCAUCUAUAUCCUCAUUAAGCCCCUGGUUAACCACGCCCCAUCAGACUGUGAUCUGUGGUUUCUUCACAGCAGUCUGGAGAACCUUCACAGGCCAUUUGUCCAUAAACUUUCACAUCUUCCUUGUCCUCUCUUUGACAAACCAUCAGACCUCAGGUUUUCCUCAUCAUGCGACGGGUUUGCCAGAUGUGAAACUUGCUAUAGGCUGUCUGUAACAUCUCCUCCAAAUGCCCUGUGAGCUGUGGGAACAUACAAGAGAUUUAAUGAAAGUGUCACCUGGUUAAAGCCAAUAUUGUGUCAUUAUUAAUAACUUGGAGACUUACAUUUGUACUUAAGUACUGACGCUGAAUCUUCUCCUGAAAAGGACAAAGCUUGGUCAUCUGAAAUCUCUCGAGGAAAACAGGACCAGAAGUGUCUCAGCAACUCUCCAGCAGCUGCAUAAAGAUGCUUUAACUCUCCUUGAACCUCAAAUGCAUGACAGCAGUCAUGAGGAAACACCUUGAAGUUCAGUGUGUUGCUCAGCGGCAUUUCAGCAACCUCACGCUACAGAUGUGCUAUAGGCAUCCACUGAUCACCUUUCACAGCAAGUAAUGUUAAACUUCUUUAACAGUUGUACAACACACUUACGAUUUAUGGCUUGUUGUGCUCCUGCCUGCAUGAGGAUGCCACCUGGAGAAAGUGCUGCAAUAGCAGAGCUAGCGGUUGUGCUGGACAACACCUGCAACGAGUAUCACUGGGGUUAAACUCUUCAAAGACACCAUUCAUACUUUAAACAAUUUACAUAUUCCUGAUUUUUCAGGAAAACGUAACUUUGAAAAUAUUUGUACUGCCUUCCCAGUCCACAGUGCUUUUAGUGGGCUCUUAUAUUAUCACAAUAAGUGGAAAAGGAACUAGAGGAACAGGUUUAAUGAUCUUGACCUGGGAAUGUGUUGUUAUUGGACUUCUGAGAUGUGUAUGAUCAUUAACUUUUGUCCGAAGUGAUUGUUAAAAUUGUUAAAUCACAAUAGAAGCUGUGUUCUGUGCAGCUGACUUGAUCAAUAUCUGGUGAAAACCUGAUGGCACUGAUCAGCAUACAUGAUAAAGUUAACGAAAUAUAGUGAGCAUGACCUAACCUGAGUGAGGUUGGGUUUGUAAUUGACCAUCUCUUGCUGGAUGUAGUUGACAGAGUUGAUGAUAUCCUGGCUUGUCGUAUACUGUUGAGACUGAAGUGGCACAGGCCCAUGGGCGUACCUUACAAAUAAAGAGAGAUACUGUGAGAAACAUUA